UACGGGGGGGGCAAGCGUUGUUCGGAAUUACUGGGCGUAAAGGGCGCGUAGGCGGCCUUCUAAGUCAGACGUGAAAUCCCUCGGCUCAACCGAGGAACUGCGUCUGAUACUGGAAGGCUUGAAUCCGGGAGAGGGAUGUGGAAUUCCAGGUGUAGCGGUGAAAUGCGUAGAUAUCAGGAGGAACACCGAUGGCGAAGGCGGGUUGCUGGGCUGACACUGACGCUGAACUGCGAAAGCUAGGGGAGCGAACGGG
rnacentral:rRNA from 1 species